rnacentral:rRNA from 1 species
AUUGAACGCUAGCGGGAUGCUUUACACAUGCAAGUCGAACGGCAGCGCGGACUUCGGUCUGGCGGCGAGUGGCGAACGGGUGAGUAAUGUAUCGGAACGUGCCCAGUAGCGGGGGAUAACUACGCGAAAGCGUAGCUAAUACCGCAUACGCCCUACGGGGGAAAGCAGGGGAUCGUAAGACCUUGCACUAUUGGAGCGGCCGAUAUCGGAUUAGCUAGUUGGUGAGGUAACGGCUCACCAAGGCGACGAUCCGUAGCUGGUUUGAGAGGACGACCAGCCACACUGGGACUGAGAAACGGCCCAGGCUCCUACGGGAGGCAGCAGUGGGGAAUUUUGGACAAUGGGGGCAACCCUGAUCCAGCCAUCCCGCGUGUGCGAUGAAGGCCUUCGGGUUGUAAAGCACUUUUGGCAGGAAAGAAACGUCGCGGGCUAAUACCCCGUGGAACUGACGGUACCUGCAGAAUAAGGACCGGCUAACUACGUG